GACGAACGCUGGCGGCGUGCUUAACACAUGCAAGUCGUACGGUAAGGCCCUUUCGGGGGUACACGAGUGGCGAACGGGUGAGUAACACGUGAGUAACCUGCCCACAACUUUGGGAUAACGCUAGGAAACUGGUGCUAAUACUGGAUAUGUGCUCCUGCUGCAUGGUGGGGGUUGGAAAGCUCCGGCGGAUGUGGAUGGACUCGCGGCCUAUCAGCUUGUUGGUGGGGUAGUGGCCUACCAAGGCGGCGACGGGUAGCCGGCCUGAGAGGGUGACCGGCCACAUUGGGACUGAGAUACGGCCCAGACUCCUACGGGAGGCAGCAGUGGGGAAUAUUGCACAAUGGGCGCAAGCCUGAUGCAGCAACGCCGCGUGCGGGAUGACGGCCUUCGGGUUGUAAACCGCUUUCAGCAGGGACGAAGCUUUUUGUGACGGUACCUGCAGAAGAAGCACCGGCUAACUACGUG
rnacentral:rRNA from 1 species